rnacentral:rRNA from 1 species
CAGUCGCCGCGGUAAUACAGAGGGUGCAAACGUUGUUCGGAAUUACUGGGCGUAAAGCGAGUGUAGGCGGUUAGGUAAGACGGAUGUGAAAGCCCCGGGCUCAACCCGGGAAGUGCACUCGAUACUGCCAAGCUAGAGUACUGGAGAGGUUGGUGGAAUUCUCGGUGUAGAGGUGAAAUUCGUAGAUAUCGAGAGGAACACCGGUGGCGAAGGCGGCCAACUGGACAGAUACUGACGCUGAGACUCGAAAGCGUGGGUAGCAAACAGGAUUAGAUACCCCUGUAGUCCCUGUCUCUUAUAC